AGUGAACGCUGGCGGUAGGCCUAACACAUGCAAGUCGAACGGCAGCACAGUAAGAGCUUGCUCUUACGGGUGGCGAGUGGCGGACGGGUGAGGAAUACAUCGGAAUCUACUUUUUCGUGGGGGAUAACGUAGGGAAACUUACGCUAAUACCGCAUACGACCUACGGGUGAAAGCAGGGGAUCUUCGGACCUUGCGCGACUGAAUGAGCCGAUGUCGGAUUAGCUAGUUGGCGGGGUAAAGGCCCACCAAGGCGACGAUCCGUAGCUGGUCUGAGAGGAUGAUCAGCCACACUGGAACUGAGACACGGUCCAGACUCCUACGGGAGGCAGCAGUGGGGCAUAUUGGACAAUGGGCGCAAGCCUGAUCCAGCCAUACCGCGUGGGUGAAGAAGGCCUUCGGGUUGUAAAGCCCUUUUGUUGGGAAAGAAAAGCAGCAGGUUAAUACCCCGCUGUUCUGACGGUACCCAAAGAAUAAGCACCGGCUAACUUCGUG
rnacentral:rRNA from 1 species